rfam:Paenibacillus sp. Soil787 contig_17, whole genome shotgun sequence.
GGGUAAUGUCUACUACACCCUUAUCAUUGUAGACACUCGAUCAUGCUGUGGGCUAUUAAGCCUUAGACGUUUAGCGUCGGUGGUGUGGAGUGAGGGUGGGUUAAAUGCCCC